rnacentral:rRNA from 1 species
CGGGAGGCAGCAGUGGGGAAUAUUGGACAAUGGGGGAAACCCUGAUCCAGCGACGCCGCGUGACUGAAGAAGUAUUUCGGUAUGUAAAGGUCUAUCAGCAGGGAAGAAAAUGCCGGUACCUGACUAAGAAGCCCCG